rnacentral:rRNA from 1 species
GUGCCAGCAGCCGCGGUAAUACCGGCAGCCCGAGUGAUGGCCGAUCUUAUUGGGCCUAAAGCGUUCGUAGCCGGCCCCGCAAGUCCAUCGGGAAAUCCGUCAGCCCAACUGACGGGCGUCCGGUGGAAACUGUGUGGCUUGGGACCGGAAGACCCGAAGGGUACGUCUUGGGUAGGAGUGAAAUCCCGUAAUCCUGGACGGACCGCCGAUGGCGAAAGCACUUCGAGAAAACGGAUCCAACAGUGAGGGACGAAAGCCAGGGUCUCCAACCGGAUUAGAAACCCGGGUAGUCC